rnacentral:rRNA from 1 species
UGGGGAAUAUUGGACAAUGGGGGCAACCCUGAUCCAGCAAUGCCGCGUGAGUGAUGAAGGCCUUAGGGUUGUAAAGCUCUUUCGCCCACGACGAUGAUGACGGUAGUGGGAGAAGAAGCCCCGGCUAACUUCGUGCCAGCAGCCGCGGUAAUACGAAGGGGGCGAGCGUUGUUCGGAAUUACUGGGCGUAAAGGGCGCGCAGGCGGCCUUUGAAGUCAGGCGUGAAAGCCCCGGGCUCAACCUGGGAAUUGCGCUUGAUACUCUUAGGCUUGAGUACGGGAGAGGAGAGUGGAAUUCCCAGUGUAGAGGUGAAAUUCGUAGAUAUUGGGAAGAACACCGGUGGCGAAGGCGGCUCUCUGGACCGUAACUGACGCUGAGGCGCGAAAGCGUGGGGAGCAAACAGGAUUAGAUACCCUGGUAGUCCACGCCGUAAACGAUGUGCGCUAGACGUUGGAGGCCCUAGGUCUCCGGUGUCGCAGCUAACGCGUUAAGCGCACCGCCUGGGGAGUACGGCCGC